rnacentral:misc_RNA from 1 species
GAUGAAGAACGUAGCAAAAUGCGAUAAGUAAUGUGAAUUGCAGAAUUCAGUGAAUCAUCGAAUCUUUGAACGCACAUUGCGCCCGCCAGUAUUCUGGCGGGCAUGCCUGUUCGAGCGUCAUUUCAACCAUCAAGCCCCCGGCUUGUGUUGGGGACCUGCGGCUGCCGCAGGCCCUGAAAACCAGUGGCGGGCUCGCUAGUCACUCCGAGCGUAGUAAUACAUCUCGCUCAGGGCGUGCUGCGGGUUCCGGCCGUUAAAAGCCUUAUUUUACCCAAGGUUGACCUCGGAUCAGGUAGGAAGACCCGCUGAACUUAAGCAUAUCAAUAAGCGGAGGA